rnacentral:guide_RNA from 1 species
AAUAACAAUAUAAACGAAUUAGAUGAUGGAUAGUACUUUGAUAUAU